AGAGUUUGAUCAUGGCUCAGAUUGAACGCUGGCGGCAGGCCUAACACAUGCAAGUCGAGCGGUAGCACAGAGAGCUUGCUCUCGGGUGACGAGCGGCGGACGGGUGAGUAAUGUCUGGGAAACUGCCUGAUGGAGGGGGAUAACUACUGGAAACGGUAGCUAAUACCGCAUAACGUCGCAAGACCAAAGUGGGGGACCUUCGGGCCUCAUGCCAUCAGAUGUGCCCAGAUGGGAUUAGCUAGUAGGUGGGGUAACGGCUCACCUAGGCGACGAUCCCUAGCUGGUCUGAGAGGAUGACCAGCCACACUGGAACUGAGACACGGUCCAGACUCCUACGGGAGGCAGCAGUGGGGAAUAUUGCACAAUGGGCGCAAGCCUGAUGCAGCCAUGCCGCGUGUGUGAAGAAGGCCUUCGGGUUGUAAAGCACUUUCAGCGGGGAGGAAGGCGNCGAUUGACGUUACCCGCAGAAGAAGCACCGGCUAACUCCGUGCCAGCAGCCGCGGUAAUACGGAGGGUGCAAGCGUUAAUCGGAAUUACUGGGCGUAAAGCGCACGCAGGCGGUCUGUCAAGUCGGAUGUGAAAUCCCCGGGCUCAACCUGGGAACUGCAUUCGAAACUGGCAGGCUAGAGUCUUGUAGAGGGGGGUAGAAUUCCAGGUGUAGCGGUGAAAUGCGUAGAGAUCUGGAGGAAUACCGGUGGCGAAGGCGGCCCCCUGGACAAAGACUGACGCUCAGGUGCGAAAGCGUGGGGAGCAAACAGGAUUAGAUACCCUGGUAGUCCACGCCGUAAACGAUGUCGAUUUGGAGGUUGUGCCCUUGAGGCGUGGCUUCCGGAGCUAACGCGUUAAAUCGACCGCCUGGGGAGUACGGCCGCAAGGUUAAAACUCAAAUGAAUUGACGGGGGCCCGCACAAGCGGUGGAGCAUGUGGUUUAAUUCGAUGCAACGCGAAGAACCUUACCUGGUCUUGACAUCCACAGAACUUUCCAGAGAUGGAUUGGUGCCUUCGGGAACUGUGAGACAGGUGCUGCAUGGCUGUCGUCAGCUCGUGUUGUGAAAUGUUGGGUUAAGUCCCGCAACGAGCGCAACCCUUAUCCUUUGUUGCCAGCGGUNNGGCCGGGAACUCAAAGGAGACUGCCAGUGAUAAACUGGAGGAAGGUGGGGAUGACGUCAAGUCAUCAUGGCCCUUACGACCAGGGCUACACACGUGCUACAAUGGCAUAUACAAAGAGAAGCGACCUCGCGAGAGCAAGCGGACCUCAUAAAGUAUGUCGUAGUCCGGAUUGGAGUCUGCAACUCGACUCCAUGAAGUCGGAAUCGCUAGUAAUCGUAGAUCAGAAUGCUACGGUGAAUACGUUCCCGGGCCUUGUACACACCGCCCGUCACACCAUGGGAGUGGGUUGCAAAAGAAGUAGGUAGCUUAACCUUCGGGAGGGCGCUUACCACUUUGUGAUUCAUGACUGGGGUGAAGUCGUAACAAGGUAACCGUAGGGGAACCUGCGGUUGGAUCACCU
rnacentral:rRNA from 1 species